UACGUAGGGUCCGAGCGUUGUCCGGAAUUACUGGGCGUAAAGAGCUCGUAGGUGGUUUGUCGCGUUGUUCGUGAAAACUCACAGCUUAACUGUGGGCGUGCGGGCGAUACGGGCAGACUAGAGUACUGCAGGGGAGACUGGAAUUCCUGGUGUAGCGGUGAAAUGCGCAGAUAUCAGGAGGAACACCGGUGGCGAAGGCGGGUCUCUGGGCAAUAACUGACGCUGAGGAGCGAAAGCGUGGGGAGCGAACAGG
rnacentral:rRNA from 1 species